UAGGGAAUCUUCGGCAAUGGGGGCAACCCUGACCGAGCAACGCCGCGUGAGUGAAGAAGGUUUUCGGAUCGUAAAGCUCUGUUGUAAGAGAAGAACGUGUGUGAGAGUGGAAAGUUCACACAGUGACGGUAACUUACCAGAAAGGGACGGCUAACUACGUGCCAGCAGCCGCGGUAAUACGUAGGUCCCGAGCGUUGUCCGGAUGUAUUGGGCGUAAAGCGAGCGCAGGCGGUUUAAUAAGUCUGAAGUUAAAGGCAGUGGCUUAACCAUUGUUCGCUUUGGAAACUGUUAAACUUGAGUGCAGAAGGCGGGAGUGGAAUUCCAUGUGUAGCGGUGAAAUGCGUAGAUAUAUGGAGGAACACCGGUGGCGAAAGCGGCUCUCUGGUCUGUAACUGACGCUGAAGCUCGAAAGCGUGGGGAGCAAACAGG
rnacentral:rRNA from 1 species